CGGUUGAUCCUGCCGGACCUGACUGCUAUCGGAUUGGUACUAAGCCAUGUGAGUCGUUGUAGCAAUACAAGGCAUACGGCUCAGUAACACGUAGUCAAUCUAACCUAUGGACGGGGAUAACCUCGGGAAGCUGAGGAUAAUACCUGAUAGAUCAUUAUACCUGGAACGGUUUAUGGUCCAAAUGAUUCGUCGCCGUAGGGUGGGACUGCGGCCUAUCAGCUUGUUGGUGAGGUAAUGGCCCACCAAGGCUAUUACAGGUACGGGCUCUGAGAGGAGUAGCCCGGAGAUGGGUACUGAGACACGGACCCAGGCCCUAUGGGGCGCAGCAGGCGGGAAACCUUUGCAAUGUGCGCAAGCACGACAAGGUUAAUCCGAGUGUUUCCUGCUAAAGGAAUCUUUUGUUAGUUUUAAAAUCACUAUUGAAUAAGGGGUGGGCAAGUUCUGGUGUCAGCCGCCGCGGUAAAACCAGCACCUCAAGUGGUCAGGAUGAUUAUUGGGCCUAAAGCAUCCGUAGCCUGCUUUGUAAGUUUUCGGUUAAAUCCAUACGCUCAACGUAUGGGCUGCCGGGAAUACUGCAAAGCUAGGGAGUGGGAGAGGUAGACGGUACUCGGUAGGAAGGGGUAAAAUCCUUUGAUCUAUUGAUGACCACCUGUGGCGAAGGCGGUCUACCAGAACACGUCCGACGGUGAGGGAUGAAAGCUGGGGGAGCAAACCGGAUUAGAUACCCGGGUAGUCCCAGCUGUAAACUAUGCAAACUCGGUGAUGCAUUGGCUUGAUGCCAAUGCAGUGCCGCAGGGAAGCCGUUAAGUUUGCCGCCUGGGAAGUACGUACGCAAGUAUGAAACUUAAAGGAAUUGGCGGG
rnacentral:rRNA from 1 species